UGAAUGUCCCUGUUAUUCAUGGUUAUGAUUCUUGUGUUACAAUGGUUAUGUUGGACGUGAUUUCAAUUUAACAGGUGAGCGCGUCUCUGAACAUGAUGCUUUAAAUGCAUAGGAUUGAGCACUUGUGUGCUGGAAUACUGGUAGGUCAAGGGAAGGCCGCUACGGAUUUAUCAUUUAUAGCAAUAACUUUUUUUUUCACUUGAUCAUUUUAAAUUCAUUUAUAGUACAAUCUUAAUACAUAUUAUAAAGAACACUCUUAGCCUCGAGCGACAUUGCUUCUAAUGACA
rnacentral:misc_RNA from 1 species